UACGUAGGCAGCAAGCGUUUGUUCGGAAUUACUGGGCGUAAAGAGUGUGUAGGCGGUGCUCUAAGUUUGGUGUGAAAUCUCCCGGCUCAACUGGGAGGGUGCGCCGAAAACUGGAAUGCUUGAACAUGGGAGAGGAAAGCGGAAUUCCUGGUGUAGCGGUGAAAUGCGUAGAUAUCAGGAGGAACACCUGCGGUGUAGACGGCUUUCUGGACCAUUGUUGACGCUGAGACACGAAAGCGUGGGUAGCAAACAGG
rnacentral:rRNA from 1 species